rnacentral:lncRNA from 1 species
AUGGGUUGCUGGGGUUGUAUAACUGUGCCUAGAGGGCGGGGUUCCUGUACAUUCCUACUUCACCAGAUAACCUGCCCCCAACACCGCUUCUGCCAGACAGAUGGAACUCUCCAACGUGAAAAUCUGCGCAGCCAUUCCAACGAGCGGGACUCUGCCUGGUGUUGGCCGAAGGAUGCCGAAGAAAGACUGAUGAUGGACUGGGACGCUCUUACCCCAAGAUUGCGGGCGCGCUAUCCACAGAAGUAG